AGAGUUUGAUCAUGGCUCAGAACCGAACGCCGGCGGCGUGCUUAACCNCAUGCAAGUCGAACGAAGAAAUCGGGCACUUCAGGCAACUGAGUUGCCGGAGAGUAAAAGUGGCGCACGGGUGAGUAACACGUGGGUAACCUACCCCCGAAUCCGGGAUAACCUCGCGAAAGCGUUGCUAAUACCGGAUAUUGUCCUUUUGGUUGUGACCUUUGGGAUGAAAGGCAACCUCUUCAUGAAAGUUGUCGUUCAGGGAUGGGCCCGCGUACCAUUAGCUUGUUGGUGGGGUAACGGCUCACCAAGGCUACAAUGGUUAGCUGGUCUGAGAGGAUGAUCAGCCACACUGGAACUGAAACACGGUCCAGACUCCUACGGGAGGCAGCAGUGAGGAAUUUUGCGCAAUGGGGGAAACCCUGACGCAGCAACGCCGCGUGAGUGAAGAAGGCUUUCGGGUCGUAAAGCUCUGUCAAGUGGGAAAAAAGUCUGAUGAUUAAUAGUUGUCAGAUCUGAUGGUACCACUGGAGGAAGCACCGGCUAACUCCGUGCCAGCAGCCGCGGUAAUACGGAGGGUGCAAGCGUUGUUCGGAAUUACUGGGCGUAAAGGGCGUGCAGGCGGGUUGGUAAGUCAGAUGUGAAAGCCCUGGGCUUAACCCAGGAAGUGCAUUUGAAACUGCCAUCCUAGAGUAUGGGAGAGGAGAGUGGAAUUCCCAAUGUAGAGGUGAAAUUCGUAGAUAUUGGGAGGAACACCCGUGGCGAAGGCGACUCUCUGGACCAAUACUGACGCUGAGACGCGAAAGCGUGGGGAGCAAACAGGAUUAGAUACCCUGGUAGUCCACGCUGUAAACGAUGAGGACUAGGUGUAGCGGGUAUUGACCCCUGCUGUGCCGAAGUUAACCNCAUAAGUUUCCGCCUG
rnacentral:rRNA from 1 species